GGAGGUAUAGCUCAGUGGUAGAGCAUUUGAUUUCAGAUCAAGAGGUCCUCUGUUCAAAUCUAAGUACCCCCC
rfam:Lepisosteus oculatus linkage group LG15, whole genome shotgun sequence.